AUUGAACGCUGGCGGCAGGCCUAACACAUGCAAGUCGAACGAGUGGCGGACGGGUGAGUAAUGUCUGGGAAUCUGCCCGAUAGAGGGGGAUAACUACUGGAAACGGUAGCUAAUACCGCAUACCAUCGGAUGUGCCCAUAUGGGAUUAGCUAGUGGGUGGGGUAACGGGUCACCAAGGCGACGAUCCCUAGCUGGUCUGAGAGGAUGAUCAGCCACACUGGAACUGAGACACGGCCCAGACUCCUACGGGAGUCAGCAGUGGGGAAUAUUGCACAAUGGGCACAAGCCUGAUGCAGCCAUGCCGCGUGUAUGAAGAAGGCCGUCGGGUUGUAAAGUACUUUCAGCGGGGAGGCGUUACCCGCAGAAGAAGCACCGGCUAACUCCGUGCCAGCAGCCGCGGUAAUAC
rnacentral:rRNA from 1 species